AGUGAACGCUGGCGGUAGGCCUAACACAUGCAAGUCGAACGGCAGCACAGUAAGGCCUGGCUCUUCCGGUUGCCGGGGGGCGGACGGGGGGGGAAUACACCGAAACCUACUUUUUCGGGGGGGUUAACGAAGGAAAACUUACGCUAAUACCGCAUCCGACCUCCGGGGGAAACCAGGGGACCUUCGAACCUUGGGGGAUGGAUGAGCCGGAUGUCGGAUUAGCUAGUUGGCGGGGUAAAGGCCCACCAAGGCGACGAUCCGUAGCUGGUCUGAGAGGAUGAUCAGCCACACUGGAACUGAGACACGGUCCAGACUCCUACGGGAGGCAGCAGUGGGGAAUAUUGGACAAUGGGCGCAAGCCUGAUCCAGCCAUACCGCGUGGGUGAAGAAGGCCUUCGGGUUGUAAAGCCCUUUUGUUGGGAAAGAAAAGCAGCAGGUUAAUACCCCGCUGUUCUGACGGUACCCAAAGAAUAAGCACCGGCUAACUUCGUG
rnacentral:rRNA from 1 species